ACAAGUGAAGGGUCUGCCGUGUCGUCGCUUCACGAUGACGCAUCCAGCGUCUUCAGUGGUGAUGCUGAUAUUGUUCCAACGACUCCUUCAUCGGCAGCACAGUCAAAGAGCUCUUCGUGGUUCAGGUUCGGUUCCCGAAAAUCACGGUACUCGUCACCGACCAGUAGAGUCUCAAUGAUGGCCGUAGAAGAAGCCGAUGAGCCAGACGAAUUGAACCUGACACCUUCGGCAGUUCAGAAAAGCCC
rnacentral:ribozyme from 1 species